UCUCUAUCAAAUCAGUGUUCCAGGCCGUCCAGGUUAUAAACAGCAGACUAUAUAGCACAGGGCCCAUAAACUGCAGUAUUGCUUCAAGAUGUCCAGGCUUUGUUAAAACCCCUGUGGUGUAAUUGAUAAAAAGAACCCGUCCAUCUGCAUAAAGUAGCCAGCUAAGCGUUUGUUCUUCCCUCAGCCGCACAAUAAAGUUAUUCUUGCAGCAAACGGUACCAAAUGUUGUCAGUUCGGGAAGAAGAGAGGAACAAAUGUUUGGAGAGAAAAAAAAGUGGUAAAGAUAAGGAAAACAAAAGUGACAAGGGAAUGGAGUAGACAAAGCAAAGAGGAAUCAGCAGAAAGUAAAAUCCGUUUGGUGAAGACCGGGCACAGUAAUGGGUGUAAGGGAUCAGAAAAACCAUAGAAGUGUUUGACACUUUUUUUCUGCAAUUUACCUAAGAAAAAUUGUUUUUUUUCCCCACUGCUCCAGAUCAAAUUACUGACCUAGCUACACAUUACACAGUGAUUGUUUGAUCAAAAGAGGAACUCCUUUAUAUCUGUCCUCAAUGGUACACAGCAGAGGAGAGAAGAUAAACAUACAGCAGAUGCAUAUCUCUGUACUGCAAAGUGAUGCCGUUUUAGAUUCUUUGAACACGUAUUUUGUAUCCAGAGUUUGCGCAAUGCAGUGCUAAAAGGAACACGAAACCCACAUGAUGUCAUUUUAAACAACUUUCUAAUUUACUUCUAUUAUCAAAUUUUUCUUUGUACUCGUAUCUUUUGUUGAAAGGCAGGGAUGUAGGCUCAGGAGCAUGCACGUGUCUGGAGCACUGUAUGGCAGCAGUUUUGCAAUGAAUUAUCCAUUUGCUAGAGCAUUAGAUGGCAGCGCUAUUUCUUGCCAUACAGUGCUCCAGACACCUACCUGGGUAUCUCUUCAACAAAGAAUAACAUGGAGAAAAAGCA